rnacentral:rRNA from 1 species
ACGAACGCUGGCGGCGUGCCUAAUACAUGCAAGUAGAACGCUGAAGGAGGAGCUUGCUUCUCCGGAUGAGUUGCGAACGGGUGAGUAACGCGUAGGUAACCUGCCUGGUAGCGGGGGAUAACUAUUGGAAACGAUAGCUAAUACCGCAUAACAGUAGAUAUUGCAUGAUAUCUGCUUGAAAGGUGCAAUUGCAUCACUACCAGAUGGACCUGCGUUGUAUUAGCUAGUUGGUGAGGUAACGGCUCACCAAGGCGACGAUACAUAGCCGACCUGAGAGGGUGAUCGGCCACACUGGGACUGAGGCACGGCCCAGACUCCUACGGGAGGCAGCAGUAGGGAAUCUUCGGCAAUGGACGGAAGUCUGACCGAGCAACGCCGCGUGAGUGAAGAAGGUUUUCGGAUCGUAAAGCUCUGUUGUAAGAGAAGAACGAGUGUGAGAGUGGAAAGUUCACACUGUGACGGUAUCUUACCAGAAAGGGACGGCUAACUACGUG